UAAUUGUGUAAGGGGUGCACGUGUGAGUGUGUGGUGUGAGAAGCGGGGGAUUGCUCCCCACUUCUAUAAUUCUCCCAGGAGAAUCAUUUCUCCCUUUUUUUUUUCUCUCUCACUCUCUCGGCAGUCUCUCUCUCCUCCUCUCCUCCGAAAAACUCCCUCCUCUCUUCUCUCUUCGAUUUCAUCUACCUAGGGGGUGAUUCCGGACAAGGCCUGAGAAUUAAAGUUGCUAUAUGAAGCAUUGGCUUUCCGAAUAUCCAAGAAAAAUCACGAUCGGACCACGUGCGAGCUCGGUUGACUUAGUCAAAGGUUCGGGUUUUGCUCAAAACCCAUGAGGUACACUACAUGGACACAGUCUUGGAGGUUGUGAAGUGCAUGCAGACAUCACAGGCUAAAGUUAUUUUUUGAAGAACUUGUCUUUCCUUUGUAAAUCAAACUGUAUUGUACUAUUUUCUCUAAUUUGGAAUACUGUAUCAGUUGACAAAAUUGUGAGAUUUAGAAACUGUAUGUUGUAAUUUGGGGUACCGUAUGUACUAUUGUGAGGAUUUGUAUUUAAAAUGGUAUUGUUAUUUAUGUUAAAAA